GAUGAACGCUGGCGGCGUGCUUAACACAUGCAAGUCGAGCGGAGCUCAAAUGCGGAUCCCCUUCGGGGGUGAAACAUCUGAGCUUAGCGGCGGACGGGUGCGUAACGCGUGGGUAAUCUGCCCUUGUCACCGGGAUAACACGUCGAAAGGUGUGCUAAUACCGGAUGAAAUACAGACCUGGCAUCGGGACUGUAUCAAAGUCAUGCGGACAAGGAUGAGCCUGCGUCUGAUUAGCUGGUUGGUGGGGUAAAAGCCUACCAAGGCGACGAUCAGUAGCCGGCCUGAGAGGGUGACCGGCCACACUGGGACUGAGACACGGCCCAGACUCCUACGGGAGGCAGCAGUGGGGAAUAUUGCACAAUGGGCGCAAGCCUGAUGCAGCAACGCCGCGUGAGGGACGACGGCCUUCGGGUUGUAAACCUCUUUUAGCAGGGAAGAAGCGAAAGUGACGGUACCUGCAGAAAAAGCACCGGCUAACUACGUGCCAGCCGCCGCAGUAAAAC
rnacentral:rRNA from 1 species